UACAGAGGUCUCAAGCGUUGUUCGGAUUCAUUGGGCGUAAAGGGUGCGUAGGUGGCGGGGUAAGUCAGGGGUGAAAUCUCGAGGCUCAACCUCGAAACUGCACUUGAUACUGCCUUGCUAGAGUACUGGAGAGGAGAUUGGAAUUUACGGUGUAGCAGUGAGAUGCGUAGAUAUCGUAAGGAAGACCAGUGGCGAAGGCGAAUCUCUGGACAGUUACUGACACUGAGGCACGAAGGCCAGGGGAGCAAACGGG
rnacentral:rRNA from 1 species